GACACUGUGGCCACCAGUGACCCAGAAAUCCCACAGCUCCCUGCAAGUUCAGGCUGGGUAACCUAUGUGAGGGGCAGCCCUGGGCUGAUCCCACCUAAGCCACUUCCCGCAAGUAUCAGCUUCUAAGGAACCCCAGCUCCCUUGCCCAGCCCCCUGCCCACCCUGGCCUGGACCUUGGGAGGCCAGGCUGGCUGAGGGUCCUGCAUCCACAGGUGACUGGGAAGUUCCGCGGGGGUGUGAACCCUUUCACCCGAGGCUGCUGUGGGAAUGUGGAGCACGUGCUGUGUAGCCCCCUGGCGCCCCGGUGGGCUGGCUACUGACCCCUGUGCCCUGGUGCAGGUACGUGGUGGAGCCACCCCGGCUGCCGCUCGCGGUGAGUUUGAAGCCGCCUUUCCUUAGGCCUGAACUCCUGGACCGAGCUGCACCGCUCAAGGUCAAGCUUAGUGACAACGGGCUGAAGGCUGGCCUGGGCCGUAGCAAGUCCAAGGGCAGCCUGGACCGGCUGGAUGAGAAGCCACUGGACUUGGGGCCACCACUGCCCCCCAAGAUAGAGGCUGGCACGUUCAGCAGUGACCUGCAGACCCCGCGCCC
rnacentral:lncRNA from 1 species